rnacentral:hammerhead_ribozyme from 1 species
GCACUGCUGAGGAGUCCCACAACAGGACGAAACGGCCGUUCACUGC